GCAGUCGUGGCCGAGUGGUUAAGGCGAUUGACUAAAAAUCUAUUGGGGUCUCCCCGCACAGGUUCGAAUCCUGUUGACUGCG
rnacentral:tRNA from 1 species